GGAACUGGCAACUUGGAGGAAUGGCCUAGUUUUUUAUCUAUGAUUUCAAAACUUUAAUUAGUUUUUAGGUAAAAAUAAGAUUGAAAAGGUUAAAUCGGGUUUGGCGAAUAAAAUUCUAAAUAUAUUAUUCAUAAUGACAAUAUAUAUUUAUGUCUUGACUAAUUACGUGCCAGCAGUCGCGGUAAUACGUGAGAGACUAGUAUUAUUCAUCAUCAAUAGGUUUAAAGGGUACUUAAACGGAAGAAAUAUCCUAAAAUAGGAACUAUUUCUAUCUAGAGUAUAAUGAAAGAAGGUAGUAAUUACGGAGUUAUCUAAACGAUGAAAUGUUUUGAUACCAGAAGAAAGACAGGUUACGGCGAAAGCACCCUUUUGGAUAAAUACUGACGUUGUAGGACGUAGGCUAAACUCAUGAAGAGGAUUAGUUUCCCUCGUAAUCUUAGCAGUAAAUUAUGAAUGUCAUAAAUUAAAUUAUAUUUUUUAUAAAUGAAAGUGUAAGCAUUUCACCUUAUGAGUAAUGUGGCAACGCAGGAACUGAAAUCACUAGUCCGUUACUGACCCCAGUAGUGAAGUAUGUUGUUUAAUUCGAUUAUCCACGAAAAACCUUACCACAAUUUGAAUAAUUCAUAAAUAUUUUUUCAUUAUGAAUAACAAGUGUUGCACGGCUGUUUUAAGUUAAUGUUGUGAAAUUGUGACUAAGUCAUUAAAUUAACAUGAACCUCAUCUUUAUUUAUAGAAUUUUUUCUUUAUAAUGAGCUUUUAUUAUUUUUUGGUAAUAAAAUAACGGGGAC
rnacentral:rRNA from 1 species